rnacentral:rRNA from 1 species
UACGUAGGGACCAAGCGUUGUUCGGAUUUACUGGGCGUAAAGGGCGCGUAGGCGGCAAUUCAAGUCAUCUGUGAAAUCUCCGGGCUUAACCCGGAACGGUCAGGUGAUACUGUUUUGCUAGAGUGCGGAAGGGGCAAUCGGAAUUCUCGGUGUAGCGGUGAAAUGCGUAGAUAUCGGGAAGAACACCGGUGGCGAAGGCAGCUUGCUAUGGUAUAAUUGACGCUGAGGCACGAAAGCGUGGGGAGCAAACAGG